UGGCGAUCGCCCCUAUUUUAAACAAUAAAGAAAGUAAGACAUCUUUUUCUUAUACAUAGUUUAGUACUAUUCUUUCUGGCAGAAUUCAUCAUUAUGAUCAACUUAAUUAUUUCCUGGAUUUUUGUCAAAUUUUGAGGAAAAU